rnacentral:rRNA from 1 species
AGUAGCGCACUGGUGAGUAACACGUGGGAACGUACCUUUUGGUGGGGAACAGCAGUUGGAAACGACCGCUAAUACCGCAUAAGCCCUGAGGGGGAAAGAUUUAUCGCCGAAAGAACGGCCCGCGGAAGAUUAGGUAGUUGGUGGGGUAACGGCCUACCAAGCCGACGAUCUAUAGCUGGUCUGAGAGGACGAUCAGCCACAUUGGAACUGAGACACGGUCCAAACUCCUACGGGAGGCAGCAGUGAGGAAUAUUGGGCAAUGGAGGCAACUCUGACCCAGCCAUGCCGCGUGAGUGAAGAAGGUUUUCGGAUUGUAAAGCUCUUUCGGGUGUGACGAUGAUGACGGUAGCACCUAAAGAAGCCCCGGCUAACUUCGUGCCAGCAGCCGCGGUAAUACGAAGGGGGCAAGCGUUGUUCGGAAUUACUGGGCGUAAAGGGAGUGUAGGCGGUUAUGUAAGAUAGUGGUGAAAUCCCAGAGCUUAACUUUGGAAUUGCCAUUAUGACUAUGUGGCUAGAAUUACAGAGAGGAUAGUGGAAUACCCAGUGUAGAGGUGAAAUUCGUAGAUAUUGGGUAGAACACCAGUGGCGAAGGCGACUAUCU